rnacentral:tRNA from 1 species
GUUGGUGUUGCUUAGUUGGUUAAGCCUUUGUUUGUUACAUUGGAGGGCAUAAGUUCAACUCUUGUUGGCAACA